GAAAAAACCACAUGGAGAAUUGUUAGAUGUAAGGGGACAACACCUUUAAUUCAGAAACUUCUUCCAUCACCAAAAGCAGGACAGCAGUCUGAAAACCACCACUAGACAGCUCUCCUUUUCCUACAGUCUCUUCCUCCCGAUAAUCACAGCCUAAACCACUGAUUAACACCUGAAGACAAGACCCAAUCAGCCCUGGGAGUACAGGUGAAGGCAAUUCACGCUGAGGUGGAGCCAGGCUCCACCUCUACUGAACCUCAUUUAAGGGCUUCCAGCCACUCUGGAAAGGUCUCCUGGAGAUCCCUUCUCUGUGAACCUAGAUCCUUGGAGACAGGACAUCAAGACAUUCAUUUGGACAGACUGGAACAAGUUCUACUUUCAACACUUUCCAUUCUUCCAAAGGGGACGGCAGAGACCUGUGGAGAUCAUCUUGUCCACCCCCUACUUCAGCAGUUCGCCACAGGAGGGCACACAGGGACACGUUUCUUCCUGCCUGAUGACUUCACGCCGUGUCAAAAUUCCCGGAAAGAAAAAAACGUAUCUGCCGUAUCGCGCAGCCCGCAUCAGGAGCGGUGUUAUUUCCCAGCGCUCAUCUCGGCGCUGCCACUACCGACAGCACGCCCUUCUCCCGCUAACACUGAUUUCCGCGGACGCUCCGUCCCGCCCGGCCCCGCUCCCCCCACGCCGAACUUUCUCCGCCGCCCGGCCCGCCCCAACCUUCCCCCCCCCGCAGUCGAGCGG